UUCUUGCAGGAUAGACAUAGGCCUACUAUGAUAAAACAGAAAUAUGUUGAUUUGGGCAUCACCGAAAUAUUUGCUUUAAUCCUCACUAAAAAAACAAACUUUGGUUUAGUUUUCUGUCUUUUCUCUUUUAAAAUUUAGCUCAGUUAUUGAAUAUUGAAAAUUUCCCUAUAAAAGUUUAUGAACCUCUCAUGAUUCUCCUUAAGAUUUCCCAGCUUUGUAAUUCAUCUCAGCUGUGCCUUUCCAGGAAAUCUGAUUUUAAUUCCUGAGCAGUUCACUCUUAUAAACCCAUAAUUUAUCUCUGCAAACCUACAAUUUUCAACUCCUUCUGCAUCCCUCUGAUUCCUGCCUGAAAAAUAAAAAUUUCAGGCAUCUCUAAUUACCCUGAGAGGCAUUUUCUUGGUGGAGGGAUGAGGGUGGUGAUGGCCAGCACAGCCAUUCCUGCAUCCAGCUGGAGGGACUGGGAUGGAAAUGGGAUUUACAGAAGCCUUGCACGCUUUGCUGGCAUUUCAAUAUACUAUUCAUUCAGCGAUAAAAGACCCGAACACCUCUCCAAGCAUUCCCGUGGGAUGCAGGAGCCGUGGUUUUGAUGGAUGCGGGAGGGAAAAGCUCCCUGAAAUGCAGCGUGUGAACACAAGGUGGCACUUGGAUCCCACGGACAGAGCAGGAGCCCAGCCUGGACAUUCCCUCCACCACGGGAGCGCUUAAAGCUCUGAGCCUGUCCCUGGGCCGGGGAAGGUCACAGAAAUCAAGUGUUUAUUCCCCUGGGAAGGGACAGGUCUCCCAUUCCCCCUCUUGUCCGAGUUGAAAGACUUAAUAUAAAGCUACAGAAUUUAUGUGAGCUGGAAACUGAACCUGCUUGGAAGAGGAAAUACAGAUUGUUUUAAAAAGGAAUUCAGGCCCCAAAUUUGAAAACUCCUGAGAGAUGGACACGUUGAAAACGUUCAUCCACUUCCAGGUGGGCAAAGGCAGAGCUGGUUUUCAAGGGAACGGAUUAAGGGAUGUCAUGGGAAGUUCUCAGUGUGAGGUUUUCCUACCAGGAGUGAUAAGUCUGGAUUGUUUUUCUCCCUGUUUGGAAAAAUAAAUGCUGUUGCAGAGAUGAAGAAAUAGAAUUGUUACCAGCUCUGACCCUCCAAAGGGUCACAUUUUGUGCUUCCUUGCAAGGAUCUGGUCAGAUGAAUUUCAGCCUCCCGGGACAGGGCCCUCAGUAAGGAAAGCUCCAUGGAUAUUGGUGAGAUAAUGCAGUUUUUGGGCAGUGAAUUGAAGUUUUGGAGUUCACAGAUACGUUGGUACAGUCUGUUUUCCCCCUAAAAUCUGUGGGGCAAAAGCAGCUAAUAAUGGCUGUAAUAUUAAUAAUAAUUUUGCUGCCCAGGACAGGGAAAUCCAGUCCUAACUCUCCCUUGAGGAAUAUUUAUUCACCAAGAAAAUUUCCUUGUAUCCCUCCUUGACUGUAAACCAUUGCAUCAGCCCAUCUGCUCAUCAUGCCAGUCAUCAGCUCAUCUAUUUCUUUUUCCAAAAUCAGUUUAGAGCCAAAUAAUGGGAAUUACCCCUUAAUUUGUUCCACUUGUCCCACGC